AUUGAACGCUGGCGGCAGGCUUAACACAUGCAAGUCGAACGAGCGGCGGACGGGUGAGUAAUGUCUGGGAAACUGCCUGAUGGAGGGGGAUAACUACUGGAAACGGUAGCUAAUACCGCAUACCAUCGGAUGUGCCCAGAUGGGAGUAGCUAGUAGGUGGGGUAACGGCGCACCUAGGCGACGAUCCCUAGCUGGUCUGAGAGGAUGACCAGCCACACUGGAACUGAGACACGGUCCAGACUCCUACGGGAGGCAGCAGUGGGGAAUAUUGCACAAUGGGCGCAAGCCUGAUGCAGCCAUGCCGCGUGUGUGAAGAAGGCCUUCGGGUUGUAAAGUACUUUCAGCGAGGAGGCGUUACCCGCAGAAGAAGCACCGGCUAACUCCGUGCCAGCAGCCGCGGUAAUUC
rnacentral:rRNA from 1 species